AACGAACGCUGGCGGCGGGCCUCAUACAUGCAAGUCGAGCGCGAAAGUCCGCAAGGAUGAGUAAAGCGGCGCACGGGUGAGUAACACGUGGGUAAUCUACCUUUUGGAUUGGAAUAACCUGUCGAAAGACGGGCUAAUGCCAAGUAAGUUCUUUGGAACGUGGAGUUUUGAAGAAGAAAGAUGGCGCAAGCUAUCGCCGAAAGAUGAGCCUGCGUCCCAUUAGUUAGUUGGUGGGGUAAUGGCUUACCAAGACAAUGAUGGGUACCUGGUCUGAGAGGAUGACCAGGCACACUGGAACUGAAACACGGUCCAGACUCCUACGGGAGGCAGCAGUAGGGAAUAUUGCGCAAUGGACGAAAGUCUGACGCAGCCACGCCGCGUGAGUGAUGAAGGCCUGGUCGUAAG
rnacentral:rRNA from 1 species